UCUACCUUACCAAAAGAAACAAUUCAAACAAUUACACAUGAAAGAAAGAGAGAAUAAGGUUAACAUAAUGAAAUCCUUGAAGGGAAAGAAACGACAACGAUUCAAGGAGAGGUUUAUCACCGGAAAUCACACGUACAUGGAAGCUUCUAGAACCCUAGUUACGCCCAAAACUGGGUAUUAGUUGGAAGCAAAACUUAGAAGGGCGAAGGUUUUUGUGAAGACGGCGGGGGAUAAGCCUCAAACGGUGUAUUGGGCAUUGAAGAGACAGAUGAACCAUUCCAUGAGUAAAUGAAUUGAUUAGUUAGUGUUAGUUUCUGAUGAUUCUAAUUUCUUGGAAAUGUUAAGAAGGACUGGAGAUUCAAAUUUAGGGAGGGUGGUUUGGUGAUUGGGACAAAGCAUUGGGGAGACAAGCUGAUGUGUGGGUUCCAUGGAAUAGGGUUGAGAAUAGGGAGAUUAUAGAAGAGGAUUUGGUACUUAGAACCAGAAGUGAUUUAUAUGAUUUCACUUGUUUAUGUUCAUGCCUAAAAAUCUAGAGUGAGAGAGGGGGUACCUGGUUUUAGGUGCGGUCUGAGUGGACGACAAAUGUUAGCGAUACAUGAGGUGGCCGGAGGUAGCCGAUGAUGGAUCUGAAUCCAGUAUGCCACAUGUCACUAUUUUAGAUCCCCACUAAUUGUUUGCUACUUGUCGAUCCUUAUCUAGCCAAGGUUAGUGUGUAUUUGAUGAUAUAUUACAAUUUUGUGUGUUUGAUGCUAUAUUUGACCCAAAAAACCAAUCAUGUAUUUUUACUGAUUUUCAUUGUUGUCGUGUUAACUCUUGAUGCUUUUGAGCUGCAUAAUCUUCAAAAAAAACCUGAAGAGUUAUAGGUGUAUUAUCCCAAUUGGGUUACUUCGAUGGGGGGCUACUUACAUAUAUGCUCAGGACUAAAGACAUCGGUAAAGGGUUGUCCGUUGAUGCCAUUGAGGCGGUGAUGAAAGAAUUUAAGCUUUUACAUGACCCGGUAUGUCUCUGCCUUAUCACAUGUUUAAGAAAUAGAACAUCGAUUUACCAAUUUACUUGAUGGUUUUGUCCCGACUUUAAUUACGGCCGGUUACCUUUGGUCAAAAUGGGUAUAUAAUGAAAAACAAGUUUUUUUGUUCUUUUAUCUGUUUAGCAUUGAAGCAUCAAGAAAACAUUAUUUUUUUCAAUUCAUCUUGAAUAACCAUUUAAUAUUUAUAUGUAAAAGAUACGAAUACUCAGUAGUUAAGACCACAAAGCUUACUUAAAAUUCAACAAAUAUCUUGAGGUAAGCAUUCUCCUUUCCAAUAUCUUAUCAUUAUUAUAAAAAAAGACAUCUUCAUGUGUUUAAAUUGUUUAAUCAUUCUCAUAAUAUCAAAUCUUAUGUGUUAAUUGUGUUUUUUGACAUUUGCAACGAGUCAUAAGGGAUAUCCUCAUGGAAGGGGCAAUUUUGUAAUAUAUUAGAGAAUCUAUGUAAAGUAGUGUCAAACUAAAACAUGUAAAAUAGCGUCAAAACAGAAUAUCAAAAUGAAUUUACUAUUUGUAUUUUAGUGAUUUUGUAUGGAGAAUGAGGUUUAAAACAUAAUAAAAUAUUAAAAAUAGACUCAUAUAACAUACAAUAAGAAUAACUUAGACGUCUAUGAUUUAGCAUACAAUGACUAAGACAUCAACAUUAACUUCAAUGUUUGUAAUUUAACAUUUAAUGAACAUGGAAUCAAACAUAUACUUUUGUUUUCUAUUUAUAACAAAAGUACUUUGCCUUUUGUUGCGUUUAUAAGACCAUCAUGGUAUGUGACUUGAUAGCAAGUUGCUUUUUUAUGUUUGCAACAAAUUACAUUGUUAUAUCUUGAAGUUCAUGUUAUUUUUAUCCAAAAAACUACUUAUAUUUCUUAAAAGAUAAUAACAUUUUACUUCUAUUUCUUGUUUCUAAUAUAGACAGUUCACUUUAUGUGAUGCCCAUAAUAACAACUUACUUAUAUUUCAUUUGACCUUUUGAGAAAAUAAAACAUUUAUAUGUUUGGGCUAGACACAUACAUUGGUGUCAAAAGAAGAUGAAGAAGUUUGUAUUUUUAUUUGUUUAUUUUAAAAUCCAAUUAUUAUCUAUUUUAUGAUUAAUAUUAUGUUUUUUAAAAUUUUAAUAUUGUUUACUAUGUCUCCCAUGUAGUACACGGGUUACAUGAAAUGAUUUUUAUUUUAUUUUUCUGAAAAGUUUGGAUAUAUGACGUGUUCGACAAAAUUAGUUUGAAAUUAUAGUUUUUAUUUGUUAUAUGAGUGUUUGGAAAAAACAUAAAGAUUUAAAAAUAUAUAAAAUUACACAAAAGACACAAUUGUCUAAAAAGGAUAAAUAUAUAAAUAUAGCUUUAAGGGUAAUUCUUGAAAUUCAUUAAAAAUGUUCAAUAAAUUUUUUUUAAAGACUACCUAAAAUAACUUUUAGAUUUGGAACUAUUAUACAAUAUAUUAAAAUUAUCCAACCUUAGCUACAGUAAAGUAGCUAAGGUUUGGCAUAAUUGGCCCUUCAUCUAUUGCCUUAGCAAGAUGUGAUGAAUUUCAACAGUAAAGUGUUGUUAUUUUGCCAAGAAUGGUCCCUCUAAUGUUCUAAGAAUUUUUGUCGCAAGACCUAAUUUUUUUGGAGGGGGUGUUUUGUAAAUAUGUGUAUUCUUUUGUGGACACGUGACAUAAAACUCGGUGUCACAUACACACGUGUCUUCCAUUUAUAAUCCACCGCUUCUCAUAUCCAAUAGCAUAUCGCCAGGUUUUUCCAUCACCACCUCUGUUUCUUUUGUAUACCGAUAGAAUCCUAUUUUCCUUCUCCUGUUUCUCAGUCGUUCAAGAAACCUCUCAUACAUUGCUUCUCACAAUCAAACUUCCUCCUUCACCGGUGGCUUUCGACCGUACCGAUGCCUCCAAAACCCACUUUCUCUCUCUAAACUCAUCCAAAACUCUACAACAGUAUCCAUCGAUCCGACUUAAAAAAAUAGAGGGCAUCGAUUCCAUGUCUUCCGGGGUUGUGAGGAAGGAAAAAUUGUUGGUCCCGUGUUGGUUUUGUGAUGUUCAAUCGAAGAAAAGGAAAUCAGAAUCGACGAAAAAGAGACCGGCUGGCCAGGGAAACAACAACGUGGUCGGAUCGUUGGUGGUAUAUCUACUUAUGGACUUAGUUUAAUCCCUCCGCUUCUUGUCGAUGUUUCCUCCACCGCCUCUCCCUAUUUGCUCUACCUUCGAAAAAAAAGAGGGCAGCCGUCGUGACGGUGCCGACCACCGGAAAGUGCAAACGAACUCGAUUAGGGCAUAAUGCAAUCAUUCAUGAUGCCAAAGGUAAAAUCGUCUUCUCACAUCAUGUUUAUACGGACUCGGAACCAUCGAUUCGUUUGUGAGGUUGAAAGUAGUGAUCUUAUUGCAUAUGGUCUGAUACCUGAAUUUGUUGGAAGGUUUCCAAUUCUUAACAACUUAUUAGCUCUUACAGAGCCUCAACUUGUCCCGGUACCUUUUCAUUAACUGUAGGCAUUAAUUAACUACUUUUGGUGCUACCUCAGCCAAAGAAUGCAUUGGGGAAACGGUACAACAAGUUAUUUCAGAUGAAUCAACUAAGUUAACCUACACUAUACAGAAAGUGCUUUGAGAUUAAUUGCAAGAAAAGCAAUAACUAAGAACACUGGGGCCGUGGUCUGAGGGCCUUAUUGGAAAACAUAUUGAUGGAUGUCAUGUAUGAGGUAAAGGUAUAAUAGAUGGUGUGGUUAUUGAUGAGGAGGCAGUUAGGAGUGGCGCUAAAAUCCUCCAUGGUGAAGCUACUCUUGCCCAUUAUCUAUCACAACACUUAAUAGGUAACUUGGAAGGAAUAUUUGCCCCUGGUUGGAUAGGAUAUGGGAAUGCUUAUGCACCCAAAGAAGCAGAUGAUCAAGCUAUGUCUGGUUAUUGAACUGCUGCACGCUUAUUUCCUGGGUGUCACUUACCUAAACUCGCUGAGCAGUUUUUUUUGCAAGCAAAUGCAAUAUGUCCUUCGGAUCCACUUGUCAUGAACAAAUUCACUGGGCACACAAAAGAUGUCAUGGGUUUGAUCAGCUGGUACUGGCUCUUUAGUCUUUCUUUUUAUAUCUUUUGAUUGAAAAGGAUAAAAGAACAAGAGGAUAACAUGAGCAAUGAUAUGCAAAAAUUAGCCGGAAAAAGAAAUUUAUAGAUAAAAACAAAUGAAAAGUCAACAUACGCAUAGUGUGUAAAUGAGGCUAAAUGAUUCUUUAUUUAAUCAUUAUACUUAAAUUCUGAAUA